AAAAAGUUCCUUCAUUUGCAACCCCCCACCCCCCAAGUUAAAAAGUCACAGGCAUCUACCUAGCACAAAAGGUUGUGAAAUACACUGCAUAGUCGCACAGUGGUGCUGCAAAAGGAAACAAGUUACAAUGAGGAGAAAUGGAAAGCUCGAUAAUCGUUACGCAUGUUUUCUCACAAACAGGACAGCCACUUCCAAGCAGUUCCAGUAAAGGAAAGAGAGAAAAGGCUCAGAAGGGCAACUUGGCGUGUGUUCACCUGCCAGCACCGCCCCAGAGGUUAAAGCACCCAGCAGAGCAGCCAAUCCUGCGCCAGUGUCUUCAAUCUCCCCCACUCUGUGGAGUCCACGGGUGCCAUCCCGUCCCUCUGCUAAAGCCCUGGGGUGACCACAGCUGCUGGAGGGUGGGUCGCCGCGGUGACUGGAGGUGUGCUAUCAUGGCCAUGGGCUUCCGUCCACUGUUUUGGACAAUCUGAAAUGCCAGUUUAUUCCAUGGCAUGUUCACAAGCUGGCAAGAGUCAAGGCUACUGAGCAUCUGCCUCUGCAAACCCGGAACGUGGAAAACAGACCCCCUGCCCUUCCAACACUGUCAGAGGCCCCACCUCCCCACCCCGGCCCCCUCCUCUUAAUGCCAGGACGCCACAGACUGGAUUGAUGCUGAAGACUUCCCUUUUCUUUGGUUUUUUUGUUUGUUUUGAGUUUAUACAAUCAUUAAAAAAUCUUUGGUUUUGGCUGGAAAUUUUAAAAAUGAAGCAAAACAACACAAAGAAACCACCCUCCCCUGGCUUAUAGCAGCAGUAGUAAGACCUGGCAAAGCUUUUUUUUCCAACAUUGGGGGUGGGAAUUGAAGGUUGGGAACUACAUUCAAAGAAAAGGUGAAGGGCUGGAGAUGCAGCUUCUAGACAGCCCAGUGGAUAUAAGAUUGUCAAAUAAUAAUAAUAUUAAUAAUAAUAAAAACUUAAAUAUUUGGAUUUUUUUUUGGUCAUGUCAAAGGAAAAAAGUGAAAUGUAUAUGCAGCAGUCAGGUUAAAGGAGCCUUUGGUGUGUUUUCCCUUCCACCCAAAGUCCUGAAAAUAAGCAGAACCCUGAGGCCUCAUAGGGGAAGGGGAUGACCUCUCCCUACCAGGGAGAAGGCAAGUACAGGAGGUGAUGUGUGGCCAGCAGUCAGAGAUGUGGUGCAGGCUGGGGGUGUGGGGAGGGCUGGCCAGCCCAUAAGGGCAGGGUGGCGGGGAACAGAUGUUAAAGAGUCCUGUGAAGACCCCUUGCAACAAAAAGAAAGAGGAGAUUGCAAUUUGCCCUCAGCUUGCAGUAGCUUUUAAAGCAGCAACAUUCAGAGGCUUUGGGAAGUCCCACCCUAGGCUACAGGUCCCAUGAUGCUAUAGGCCAGAGUUCAACAUUACUCAGAAGAGGGAGGGCAGACUUGGCAACUCUGUAGGGGUUAGAGAAAGUUAAAGCAUGUUACUCAGUCACGAGUUAGAAAUGAGGUAUACAAUAGCUCGUGGAUUUGUGGUGGGCGGAAACCCCCCACACUUACUCACCUCCUUUCUGCUAUCACCACAGCUGCAGGGACUGAACUAUGGUCUAAUGUAGGGGAGGGCAUUUCCUUGGAAUGAAACCUCCUGUGGACUGAGCAAUGCACACAGGCCCCCUCAAGCAAAGGUAAGAAGCUGGAAGAAGUCAGUCUCUCCCUUUUACCUGCACUCAGGGGAGACAUACUAUUUAACGCUGUCAAAAGCCAAUGUUAUAACCACGUCUUAGGCUCUCUCCUUCCCCCACUCUGAACAGUUUGCAGUUUUAAACACAACCAGGCUGGUCCACUCUACUCUCAGAAAGUCUAUGCCUUACGGAGAACUGUGUAGGCUCAGAACCAAAGAUAUGGCACCUCCAGCUGCCUACAACCACAGCCUUUCCUAACAGGACUGUCAUUCUGCUUCUGAAAGUGCUUUCCCUUCCUGUGCUACUGUUCAGACUUAGAGACCCCGUAGGACCAGGUAGAACCACAGAGUCUUCUCUCCCCUUGGCUCUGCCCUUGUCCAUUUGAAGGAGAUCCCCAUUUUAAAGAAGUAUUUGAAUGUCUCGUUCUGGAAACCACACUGUGCCCAACUGUCUGCCUGCAGGCUUCUUAUAUCACGUGAGAGAGCUCAGCGUCCCUGCCAGGUCAUGAAAGAGCCUUAAGCUGCUUCUGUGAGGUUGUGGCUGGCUCAAAACAAUGAUGAGCAAACCAACCAACCAACCUCGGGGGAACUUUGCAUCAGACUUCAAUGCUUUGCUUGCUUUUUUAUAGUAAAUUAGUUUUGGGGUCUGAACUUUCUGACAGUGUCCUGGGUGUGAACUAGAAGGUGACCCUGGGUGGCACGGUCCUGCGCAGAAUGGGCUGAUUCAGGGUCAGAAAGAAUCAUUAAGGGACCGGCCCUGCCCUGCCCACCCUUGGAGCUUUGCUUCCGCGACAGUGGCGGUCCGUCAUGUAUGGUCUGUCUUCCCACAACUGUUUUCAGCGCUGUUAUCUUUAAUAGUCCUGUUACCUGCUUCCUGACCUAUCUAGUACUUUGAAAAGUCACAUAAUAUUAAUAUCACUUUUAUAUAAUGCCAGAAUAGGAUUACUGGUAAAGCUGUCAUGAAGUUCUGCAACCUGAUCAUUUUUUGAUAGAAUAUCUAGAACAAUAAAUUUCUUUUCCCUCUCCCAUUUUCUGUGUCUUAUCAACAGUAAACCAAAACAAUGAAUUACUCAAGUCUUCAGAGCCCAUACGUAGAAACAUUCUGUAACAAUACAGCUCUACGGAAGAAUAAAAGAAGGGUCUUCUUUUUGGGUCUUCAUGUAAUCUUGCUCUUAAAAAUGCUUAUCCUUUACAAGUGACAGAACAACUAAACAGCAUCUGAACUCACACUGGUUGUGCUUGUUCUCACUGUAAGUGUUGGAUAAAGGGAAAUAAAAGAAUCCUACUCCCAUCUUUUGCCACACUCCCUCUAAAUUUCCCAGCAAUGGCAAGAAUAUCACUGCCACAGUGAGCAACUCUAUGCAUUUUUACAGAACCAGCAGAGUGAAACUAAGUUAAUCUCUUUUCCAAAGCUAGGAUGACCAACAAGACUUCCUUCAAAAAGUGGAGAUUAUAUAGGCAGAAGAAGAGAGGGGAGAGGAAAAGUAAAGAGACAAAUGUAAAGCUUUUUCCACAUUUCAGCUGUUUGUUCUUACUUCUGCUGCUUGUGUGGAAAACAUAAGAAUAAACAAUGCAGUGUCUUUGGUAUCCAAACGGAACCCCACUUAGAUUCUCUGAGAAGGGUCACCUAUUGAAAAAUAGCCUUUCUGGACACAGAGUCUACAUCUGAACUUGGGAAGCCAAGAAAGUCUGUCCCAUAGUCUGGCCAGAAAGGGCUCCUAACUGUUUCUAAACCAGCAUCAUUUCUCAUUCAAGACAGCCCACCAAGAACAAUACUUUCGUCAGUCUCACUAACCAGUCUCUAAAGGUCACACCAUCACACGUGUGGGGUGAGCUGGUUGGCUUUCAACUUCUUGAUCUGGUUUUCUUCUGUUUGCAUUUUUGGUCAAGACAGAAUUAGCCUUGAUGUGAGAAAAGGAAGUGAGGUUUCAAACUGCUGUGCUACUGCACAACAUUCAAUAACGUGACAGAGGAUGACCAAAAAAUGUUUUAAUUUCCUAAGAUUAAGAUGCAUCAAUCACUUAUUUCUCUUUUCCUCUCCAAAUUAAAGGGUGCUUGUCUAAUUCUGUCUCUAUUUCUCAACUAUAUACUCCAACAUUCACACAUUAAUCCUUCUCUUAAGCUCUUGCUACAUGAGAGGUAAUGAAUCAUCGGAAGAGCCUGGCAGGGUCUGGGGGGCCCAGGCGGCCAUAGGAAGGGAUGUAAAUGCCUUGAGGACCCUGAACUGGAUAACAAAUGUGUAACCUGCAUGCCACCACACACUGCGCUGCAGCCCAGACCUUAGAGAGGCCAAAAAACCCCAAACCCAAACACAGGGAUGAUCAAGUUUCCUUUGGCAAGACAGAGAUAAGGAAACACACACACACACACACACACACACACACACACACACACACGCAAUGCAAUGUUUUCCUUCUAACAUAAUCAUCUUCUUCUCUUCCCCCCACCCCUCCCUAACCCUAUAAAC
ensembl:lncRNA